rnacentral:rRNA from 1 species
CCUACGGGAGGCAGCAGUGGGGAAUAUUGCACAAUGGGGGAAACCCUGAUGCAGCGACGCCGCGUGAGUGAAGAAGUAAUUCGUUACGUAAAGCUCUAUCAGCAGGGAAGAAAUACUGACCUUACGGUCAGCAGACGGUACCUGAGUAAGAAGCCCCGGCUAACUACGUGCCAGCAGCCGCGGUAAUACGUAGGGGGCAAGCGUUAUCCGGAUUUAUUGGGUGUAAAGGGGGCGUAGACGGUGCACCAAGACUGGAGUGAAAUGCCGCGGCUUAACUGCGGAACUGCUUUGGAAACUGGCGAACUAGAGUGCGGGAGAGGUAAGCGGAAUGCCUGGUGUAGCGGUGAAAUGCGUAGAUAUUAGGAAGAACACCGAUGGCGAAGGCGGCUUACUGGACCGUAACUGACGUUGAGGCUCGAAAGCGUGGGGAGCAAACAGGAUUAGAUACCCUGGUAGUC